rnacentral:rRNA from 1 species
UACGAGGGGGGCGAGCGUUGUUCGGAAUUAUUGGGCGUAAAGGGUGCGUAGGCGGCCUGACAAGUCUGAUGUGAAAUCCCUGGGCUCAACCCAGGGCCUGCAUCGGAAACUGUCGGGCUUGAGUAUGGGAGAGGUGAGUGGAAUUUCCGGUGUAGCGGUGAAAUGCGUAGAUAUCGGAAGGAACACCUGUGGCGAAGGCGAGUCUCUGGACAUUUCCUGACGCUGAGGCACGAAAGCCAGGGGAGCAAACGGG